CCUACGGGUGGCAGCAGUGGGGAAUAUUGCGCAAUGGGCGAAAGCCUGACGCAGCGACGCCGCGUGAGGGAUGAAGGUCUUCGGAUCGUAAACCUCUGUCAGCAGGGAAGAACGGUCACUGUGCUAAUCAGCAGUGAAUUGACUGUACCUGCAAAGGAAGCACCGGCUAACGUCGGGACAGCAGCCGCGUUAAUACGGAGGGGGCGAGCGUUAAUCGGAAUUACUGGGCGUAAAGCGCUCGUAGGCGGUAUGUCAAGUCAAGGGUGAAAGCCCCGCGCUCAACGGGGGAACUGCCUUUGAAACUGGGAAACUGGAGUGUGUGAGAGGAUAGUGGAAUUCCAGGUGUAGGAGUGAAAUGCGUAGAUAUCUGGAGGAACAUCAGUGGCGAAGGCGACUAUCUGGCACAUAACUGACGCUGAGGAGCGAAAGCGUGGGUAGCAAACAGGAUUAGAUACCCCAGUAGUC
rnacentral:rRNA from 1 species